rnacentral:lncRNA from 1 species
AAGCUUGACAUAUUUUUGAAGGUAUUUAGAAAUAGGUCUAGGGUAGAGUUGAUAUUGGUCAACUAUUUGACCAAAAAGUCAACAUUUGACUAAAAGUCCACUUAAGGUCAAAAAUCAAUUUCCUUGUAAAUUUCCAAUUUGAUACCUUUGUAAUGUAUUUGCAUACCUGAAUGAAGGCUUUUGACUUUGUAACUUGUUUUCUAAGUAAUCCAAUUUGCCUCUAUUUUCAAUUUGAAUGCUCUUGACUCCAAAUGCUUGAAUGUUAUUCUUGAAAGGAAACAAGACACAUGAUACUUGGCCUUGAAUCCCAAUCAAACAAACUGAUGGACUAAUGCAUAAACCAAAAUAACCAGUUUAAUUCAAUCCACCAAAGUUCACCUAAGUUGUAAUCCAAAACCAAGUUAAUGCUCUGAUGCAAACCAAACCUUCCAUGUGUACCAAAAUCCAUGGAUUAGGGUUUCAUGAUUAAACCAAAUACCAUGAUGCAAUCUCCAAGAUCUAUAGAACCAAGAAUUAGGGAUUCAUUGGCAUUGAUCCCUAAAGAGUGAACCAAUCAACAUUGUUGUACCAAAGUUUUCAAGACAUAGCAUAAACUUGAUCCACUAGAUUUGUAUCAUAAAUAAGGAAGACCCUAUGAAUCAAUGGUGCUUAUUUGAGGAUGUAGUUGUAAAUGAAUGUGUUAGGAUGGAUGAUUAGGGCAUAUGGAUAUGUAGAUGUAAUGAGAAAUAAGCCAAACAAAAGUUUAAAAAGUAGGGAGAAUUUUACGGUAUGACAACUUCCCCUUUUUAAGCCCAUUGGACCUAAAUGUACGAAUUGUGACAGCUUUUCGGGUCUUCAAGGUAGAAGAGGAUUAAAUACCAGAAUAUCUAGAAAUUUUCUCAUUGAGAAUGAAGAUGUAUUGAAAGGAAGGUAAGUUUAUUAGGGAUAUGGAAUGGAAGGUAAACUUUUGUAGGUUUAUCUGUUGGGGAUUGACUGAAAUAUUCUAUUGGGGGAAUAGAUCUGCCACAAGAGAAAUACUUCGCGUGCAUGAUAUAUGCAAUUUAUGUUUGAUAUACAUGAUGAAUGAAAUUAUGCAUGUUGUGCAACAAUGUGGGUUACUUUUUUGUGAGAGAUGAAUGGUAUCCACAAGGGUGAGACUCUAUUUUAUAGUGAUGGAUCCAAAAAGUUUACACCUUGAAGAGAAAUGGUCGGUACAUAUAUUUUUAUUUUGCCUCUACUAAUGAGCUUUGGUUGGUACUGGUAGUUGGGAUAUUCCCGUGGGGUUCCACAAAUGUAAGGAUUGAUUGUGUACUUGUAGAAGGAAAUCAUAAGGGGUGUAGAGGAAAUUUGUAAAAGGUCUUGAAAAUCACUUUCCAUACAUGAACUGGGUUUUAAAAUGCUUUACCAAACAAGAGCUAGAUUUUGAAAACAUUUUUCAUACGAGAACUGGACUUUGAAAUGAUAAGCCAGACGAAAACUGACUACCAGACGAGAACUGGUUUUUGAAAUGCUUGCCCAGACAAAAACUGGCUACUAGUCGGGAACUGGAUUUUGUAAGGAUUGGCUAGACAAGAACUGGCUACCAGACGAGAACUGGAUUUUGAAAAGAUAAGUCAGACAGGAACUGACUACCAGACGAGAAUUAUAUUUUGAAAGGAUUAUCCAGACGAGAACUGGCUACCAGACGAGAACUGGAUUUUAAAAAGAUAAGCCAAAUGGGAACUGGUUACCAGAUGGAAACUGGAUUUUAAAGAGUUAAGUCACACGGGAACUGACUACCAGACGAGAACUGGAUUUGGAAGAAAUAAGUUAGACGGGAACUGACUACCAUACGAGAACUGGAUUUUGAAAAGAUAAGCCAGAUGAGGAAUGACUAAUAGACAUGAAUUGGAUUUUGAAAAGGUAAUCCAGACAGGAACUGACUACCAAACGAAAAUUAGAAUUUGAAAAGAUAAGUAGACGGGAACUGACUACCAGACGGGAAAUGGAUUUUGAAAAGAUAAGCCAGAUAGGAACUGACUAUCAGACGGGUACUGGAUUUUGAAAAGAUAAGUCAGAUUGGAACUGACUACCAGAUGUGAACUGGAUUUUGAAAAGAUAAGCCAGACGGGAACUAACUAUCAGACGAGAACUAGAUUUUAAAAGAGUUUUCUAGACAGGAACUGUGCUUUGAAAGAGUUUUCAAGAUGGGAACUAGGCUUUAAAGGAGUGUCAACCAAAGUUGGACUUCGUGGGGGAACUCUCUGGGAAUUUGUUUAAGCAAUGUUCUCUUUGGAGGUACAUUAUUGUCAGGUUCUUCGUGCAAGGUACCAAGUCUAGUCUAUCCUUGGUAUGCAUGUUUGAAUAUGUAUGGCGUAAUGCUCCAUCUUGAUGGAUAUGUUACACAUUUUUUUAGAGAUGCAAUGUUAUGUAAUUAUUAUUACUACAUGCAAAAUGCAUGUAUUAUUGAGCUUUGUGGUUUGCCAAGCAAGUUUGGGCUUUAUGGAGCUGCCGAGCAAGGUUGGGAUUUGGAGGAUGCCAAUCAAGGUUGGGCUUUAAGGAGAUGCCUAGCAAGUUGGGUGUUAAAAUAUUCCAAGUAGAUUGGGCUUUAAGAGAGGUUCCAAGCACGUUGGGAUUUAAAAGAUGCCAAACAUGUUGGGCUUUAGGAGAGGUUCUAGGAAAGUUGGGCUUUAGAACUUCCAACGACUGUUGGGCUUUGGGUUUUCCGUUUGUUUUUUAAGGCUUCAUGUUAUGAUAGAUAAAUGAUAUGCAUGAGUGAAGCGACAUGAUUAAUGCAUGGUGAUGAUUUAUUCAUGGUUUAUCAAGUGCUUAUGUAGCGGGAGGUGGGAGUUUAGAGGUUAUGCCAAGAAUUAUGAAGACAUGAUUCUCUGACACCUACUCCAGGUAUUGACACACCUUUGCACUUGAUUUGAAAUAGGGAGAGAACUUGUACUUUCUUAGCCUAUCUCUGCCCAGUGUCAGAUAUCUACAUGCAUUGCCCCAUUCACAAGUCAUGAAACAAUCUUGUCAUAGGAAGAUCUCGAUCUGACCUUCCCCAAUGUCUUGAAAUUGUAUGCCUCUGAUUAACCGUCUCUUAGAGAGCUUGACUUCCUGUGCUCUUGAGGUGGUCUGCCUCAGUAUGAGCCUUGAAGUGAUUUUCCCAUGGCUGGAUGAUUUCAGAGAGAUUUGUCGAGUCUCGGCGUGAUUGCCCUAGAUUGACUGAAUCUUCAAGUGGCUUGCCCUUUUGCUCAAUCGAGUCUUCAGGCCUUUUUCCCCUUGGUGUGAUCCAACUUCUCAUGUGGAAACUUCUUCAUGUCAAGUGCUUGUUCACGAAUAAAAAUGUUUGUUUUUAAAAAUGAUAAUUCUAAUGUUAUGCUUAUGAAAUCCAAGUUUUUUCACUUAGAUGAUGACAUAUAGUGACUGAAUCACUAGUUAGAAUCAAUACCAACACAAAUGAUAAGCAAAACAUUAGGAGUCAGUUUUAACAUGAUCUUACUGUAGUAUACUUUUGAAAUAAACCCUGCUUCAAUUAGGUAUUUUGAGGGUUGUAACCUAACCUAGUUCACGGUUUCAGAAAGAAAAGGAUUUACGGCUACAAAUUUAUUUUAACCCACCCAUUCUCCUUGAUGUUCUUCAGUCUUACGUUCAUUUAGUUCAACACAAACAUUCAUUUUUCAAAAGGUUUUGAAUAGUAGAUGUGGUGGUAAAGGAACCAAUGAGGUUUUAAGAGUGGAAAACACCCACCUUUUGCUUUGUUCGUAGCUGGGGAUUUUUACUUUUGAUUUUCCUCUUUUGUAAUCUUCAAUUUUCCCUAGUUUUUGCUUAGACUAGUUUUUGCUUAGACUAGUUUUUGCUUAGACUAGUUUUUUGAGCUUUUAGUCUACCAGGAUGCCCUAACUUUUGCCUAAGUCGUUCUUUUUCAAGUUUUUCGACUUAGCGGGCUUUGAUUUUUUUGCAUUUUUGUAUUUCUAAUUUUUUGUUGGAACAAAAUGUGUGACAUUUGUUCACUUGGUUUGUUGAAAGGGUCGUGACUGCCUCAUUCCUUUUGUUGGUGAGGGACAACCGUUGUGGAUUUGUGAUUCUUGACCUCGUAUAAGGGAUAAGAUGUGGUUGAUACUCAUAUGGGAUACUUCCUUUUUGAAAUUUGAACACAUGGUCAAACUAAUUAAAGAUUAUUCUGCCUCUGGUUAAGAUUGAGGGUUUUUAGUGUAGAAAAGAAACUCCUACUUCUUGGCUCAAAGGGGUUGACUAGGGAUCAUCUUCCUUAUAUCUUCGAUGUUUGGGGAUUGGAACAAUUCCUUACAUUGUCGACAAGGUUUUAUUCAAAAGCAUACAACCAGUAGUCUCGUGUAUUUUGAUUUCAUAAUUAUCUUUUUUACUUAAACAAGAGUUUCAUAUUAAUGAAAUAAUAUAAGUGAAUACGAACAGAUUGAUUCGAAACAUGCAUAUUUAUUUCAUUAUUAUUAUUAUUAUUAUUAUUAUUAUUAUUAUUAUUAUUAUUAUUAUUAUUAUUAUUGUUGUUGUUGUUAUUAUUAUUUGAAAACAAACGAGUUUUACAAGUGAAUAGUACUUAACAAACAAAAUAUUACAAAUGAAAAUGAUAUGAAAAUGACAUAACGAUCGCCAGUUUUGAGGAGGCGCUCUCAAGCUUGAUCGACUGCUUCAAGGGAUGUUUAUACAGCCUCAGAACUUACCCGGGCAAGGGAUAUUCGUUCACUACCAAGUUCAUUCAUUGUAUAGUUAAGCCCUUCUUGUCAAUCAAUUAUUCUACUUUAGCUUUGAAAGGGUUAUCAUCCUCGGUCGAGUGGCUUUGAAUCAAAUAUCAUUGUCGGGGAAUCAUUGUCGUCUGGAUGAGGAAGGGAAAGGAUGAGCUUUUUCUAGUUUGCAUGCAUGAAAUGAAAAUGCGUGAAUGUAUGCAUAUGUUGUUUAUGGAGAUGGAAUGCAAAUAGAUAUACAACAUCCAUUGAUUCAAAGGUUUGGUGGUGCAAUAGUUCAAGUUCAAGAGUCCGGUAUAUACACAAUGAUGAAAUGAUAGUAUGAAAUAAUAUAGGUUAAAGGUUCAACAUGCUCUGGAAAAAUUUUAUAUACUGCUUGAUGCAGGAUCAAAGUGCGACAUUAAGUGAUAAAAAGGUAUGUAGAGUUUUGGUUUCCUGUAAAAUCCCAAUAUCCCCUCACAGGUAUAUACUACUCUUCAAAGGUAAUCCAAAAAAGGUCCCUAGAGUCAUGGACCAAUUUUGAGAUACCACUACCUGAGAUGAAUGACUCAUCGGAUAAUGAUACUCCCAAAAGGAUCUACUCUAGGUGCGCCGUCUCGUGUUGACCUUGAUCGAGGGCUAACUCUAAGUAGGUCAACACGACUCUUGCCAUAAUAUUAUCUUGUGUUUAUACUCAAAUUUGAGUAUAGAGCUUUUCUCUCAUGUAACAUCAUCCCGACCCACAACAGAGAAUAUAUCAAAUAUCAAGAGUACAGAAUAUGAAUAUUUAAAGCAAUAAAUAAUGCGAUAAAUAACAUAAAGAUAGAGAAAUUAAAGCAUAAAGAUAAAUAUCCAAAAGAACAAGGAAAAACAAAACUAGGCUUUACUCGCUUAUGGACUCCCCAACAGAGUCGCCAUCUUUCUAGGGAGUCCCAACAAGCUAACCCUAGCAGAGUCUCCAGCUGUCGCUCCAUAAAAAAUACCGGAGCACAUCGCACGCUCAAAGAUACAACAAAUUUUCCAGCAAACUUUAUUUAUUCCUGAAGGAAAGGUAAAAUAUCGAUAAAACCCAGGGGAAGAGAAAUGAGUAAGGAAGUUGGUUAUGCAAGGGGAAGGUAUUAGCACCCCUCACAUCUAUUGUACUCAAUAGAAACCAUUUUGAUUGUUCUUUUCUUGGAUGUGUGUUACUAUCUACGGGUUACUUGCGAUGAUCUCAACAAAGGGGAAGAUAUAAGUUUUUUAAUUAGGGUGCUCGCCAAGGAUUUGAACCCUUGCGCCUACGCAUCCUCAUAGUGAAAUAAAGUAAUUAGAGCUCCAUAGUGUCACACCAAAUUUUUUAACCCUAAGAUCCCACAUAUCAUUUACAACCUUGCAUACAAACAAGGUCACAUCUUGGUCCUCCCCCUCUCAUCUUUGGGUUUGCCUUUUGCAGGGAUCAUCAAGCACCUCAAUAUUGAUAUUUUACCUUUGUGUUUAUAUGUUCAUUUCCUAUCUAACCACUAAUAAAAAUAUCAAAAGUAUGUCUUGUUUCCUUUAAGUUUAUUGUGCAAGGUAGGGCUUGUCAUCAAGAGUAUCAAACAUGACUCCUUAGCUAGGGUUUUGUUGAUUCCUUAAGUCAAAUAAUGCUCAACCAUUGAUUAUCGAGGGGUUUAUCUCUCAAUACAUAAUCUAUAAGGUUCUCAAGCAUCUUUAAAUCUCAUUUUGAUCAAGAGUAUCUCAAAGUUUUGUUGCUAACUUCUCAAGAAAAGUCAAAGGUUCAUGUGUUUAUUUCCAUGUCUUAUUCAACAAGUUACCUCAAACAUUGAGAAACUUAAUAAAUAUACAUUCAAGGGCACCUUAUUUUGAGUUCAUAUGAUCACCCAUGUACUUUGAAAUGCAAGAAAAUCUAAGUUCACAAGUUUAUUUCAAGAUGGUUUAACCAAAAAGUCAACAUUUGAAGUCAAAGUUCAAAAGAUCACAACUCCUUCAAUUCUCAACUUUUUUGAAUUCUUCUUUUUUGCAUAUGACUCUUCUCAAUAUCCUCUACAACUUCUAUUUACAUGAUAAGAUCCAAUUAUGCUUGGAGGAUCAUCAAACGUUUGAAUACAUUAUAGGUCAUUUGUGGACUUAGUGAAAAUUGACCUAUUUUCAAGUGACUUUUUCUAAACUUUCAAGAUUCACAACUUCUUCAAUUUUCAACAUUUGUGGCUAAUGAGAUUUUCACAAUAUCAUUUGGGAAUAUCUCUACAAGUUUUCUCGAAGGAUCAAAGUCAAAUUUUGAUUGGAAGGCCAUGGAAUUCUUUGAGACAUUACAACUCAUUUUCAGCCAUUUGGGACUUAGAAGUUUCUAAGUUACGUGACCAGAUUUUCAUGCUAACUUCAACAUGUCAUAACUUUGUGCUCAAGCAUCCAAAUGAAAUCUUUCUUAGCACAUUGUGAUCUUUGAUAUGAUGUUAACACAUUACAAGAAGAAUGGGAUCAAAAAGCUUCCGGAGCAAGAUGCCCCAUUGAGUUGAACAUGGUGACUUGGAACUGAAGAAAUCACCAUGAUCAGAAAUUUGAACUUCACUAAUCUUAAUUGCAAGCCAAAUUACCACGUGUUUUGGACCUAAACAUGUUUAAUCAAGUCUCCAGAAGUUAAUUGACUCUUAAAAUGCAUGAUUUGGCUGAGUUUUAAGGGAUUGCAAGUCACACUUUGCACAUAUUCUGAUCAAAUUCAUUUUGCACGAAUUGAGCUUAAUCCCACACAUUUUUGGAUCCCAACACAUUCCAUAUAAAUAGAAGAACCUAUUGCAUUCAUUUCCAAGAUUUUAAGAGCAAAUAAACCCCUGAUUCAAUAUGAAAUUUCCUAGAAAAAUUCAACUAUCAUGUUUCAAUCCAAUUUCUUGAUUCCAUUAGCACCUUCGGUAUUCUAUGAAGCUUUUGCAACAAUUCCCAAGCUAUAGGACCUUCUGAAGUGCUCUGACCUGAUUAAGCUUAGUCAACUUUUGAUCAUCAUUUGGACAAGGUAGUUCUGAGCAUCAUUUAAAGUCAAACAAGUUAGCAUAAUGUAGUCUUUCACUCUAUGAUGCUUUCCCCUAACUUAUAUGGUGUUGAUUGAUCAUGUUCAUCAGUUAAUUUUAUUUUUCAUGAUUUGCUUGCUUCUGAAACUUCUCUGAAAUUCUCCAUGCCCAGUUUAGACAAAUGAGUUUGAAGCAUGAUGUUGAAUUCAUGAUUAGGAGGCGAUCACAUUGGUAGUGAUCUUAUGUUAUGAAUUUACCAAACGAUGAAACUCCGGCAUGGCAUCAUCGGGGAAGAUGAUUGGAGUUUAUCUUGUGAAAGAAUUCUUUAACUUGAAUUAACUUUUAAUGAUAGCAAAUUGUGUGAUCAUCAUCCAAAUUGGUUGUGCAUUGCAUUACAUGAUAUAUUUGUGUUCUUACUUUGUAAUUCAUCCCAUUCUAUUGUUGCAUAACCACACAUAUAAGCCUACAUUGAAAAUUUCCUUUAAAAUAACAAUUAAAAUGCAUUUUAUGUCAGUAUGUAUCAAUACAUGACCCUUUGCAUCGAUACAUGUAGCCUGUGAUUAAUCACAAAACAAUUCUUGUUCAGUAUGCAUCGAUACAUACGAACCAUGCAUCAAUACAUGGAAGGCCAAAAACUCUGUGCAUCGAUACACACGACACCUGCAUCGAUACAUGACUACUUGAGUCAGCCUGUGCAUCGAUACAUACGCAUUGGGCAUCGAUACAUAUUAGUGUAAAAUUCACAUGCAUCGAUACACACGAUUCCUGCAUCGAUACAUGAUUAAUUAAUUUCACCAAAAAUCUAUACAACUUACAGUAUGCAUCGAUACACACUUCUAUGUAUCAAUACACAGAGUUGUUUUAAGUCAUAACAGCAACUGUUUCUUGAAGGAUAUAAAUACAGGUUUCAACAGCAGGUGGUGAACACGAAUUCAUUGAGGGAAAACAAUUGAACACAGAUCAAAAGCAGUGUUGGAGCAAUUGUUUUGUGAGCACAUAGAAACCUGAAAGAGACUUCAUCUUCUUCAUCUUCUCAAUCACUCUUCUUCAAGAACAUUUACACAUAACAAUUCUUGUUCUUUGGAUUAAAGAAGCAUUGAGAUAACGUUCAGUGGUACGAUCAAGGAUCUAGCUGUGGGUUGCAGUGGAACGAUCGAGGAUCUAGCUGAGUCGAAGAUUGAAGGGGGUUUCUAGGAAAAACCUACUGGUUUGUCCUUCAAGAACUGGUGUGUUCUUGAGGGUUUGGGAGUCACAUUUGCAGAACAGAUUCAGCCGCAGCGUUGCGUUUGGAGAUCGGGGGAUUUCGCAAGCAGGUCGUGGAACCGGUGAAUUGUUUGCAACUUUGUGCAGGAAAAUCUUGAUCGAGCUCAGAUCAAGUGAAGGUUUAUACAAGAAGAGGUUCUUGGAGUUUAGAAAUUCUGUCUUUGUAUCAAAACCUUGUAUCAACGGAUUCGGCAAUAAUUGAUAAUCAAAGUUCUCAAUUUCAUUUGAAAUUGAGAGGGAGACGUACCCACACGCGAGGACGACGUGGGGAACUUCCUUAACAAAUCUCUGCGUAUCGUACUCUUACCUUAAUCUUCUUUACGUUUCAAAACUGUUUUGCAAUUUCUGUUAGUGUGUGGUGAUUGAUCAUAUUUCUGGACAGCAGUGAUAAUAAAACCUUUAGUCAUACACCAUUGCUGUUUAUCAUCAAACACUCACACACCAACUGUUUGACAAAACGGUUAACUUGAUUGUGUUCAUUGGAAAUAGUAUUUGAGGAUAAGCGCAUUCAAUCUGUUAAAAUUCUGUGUGUAUUAUUUCUGUCAUUCUCAUUAAAAUCCAGCAACUGCACUUGCGUGUCCGGCUUUCUAGUAGCGGUUCAGAAUAGACGGAAGUCGAUUCGGGACUGCUUUUUCCGCUGUUUUUGAAAACUCUGAUUAAACGUUAAAUCCGUUAAUUUUAAAGAGGUGAUCUAUUCACCCCCCUCUCGAUCACUAGCCACACCGUCUAACAAGUGGUAUCAGAGCGCCGGUUCGCUGGUGCUCUGUGGCUGCCUGUAACAGUAUGGAUUCUGAACCAAAGGGGGCGUAUAAUAGAGCGCCUAUUUUCAACGGUGAAAAUUACGGCUACUGGAAAGACUGCAUGCGAGUUCAUAUAAAUUCUGUGGAUAGGUUAGUAUGGGCUGCCAUUGAAAAUGGUCCGUUUCAAAUUACUAUGACAAAUGCGGCUGGCGCCAUAGUACCUAAACCAGAAGAUGAUUGGAAUGAGAAAGAUGAGAAAAAGUGGUCGUGUGAUUGGAGAGCUCGAAACAUGUUAAUUUCAGCACUUGGUGUUGAUGAGUAUUAUCGAGUAUCCCAUUGCACGACAGCUAAAGAAAUGUGGGACGCUUUAGAAGUUGCCCAUGAGGGUACUACUGAAGUAAAACAGUCCCGCAUUAACACACUCAAUCAAGAGUUUGAGCUCUUUCGCAUGAAACAAGGAGAAUCUAUCUCCGACAUGCAAAAGAGAUUCACUCAUCUAACUAACCGAUUGAAUGCUCUUGGAAAACCUAUUUCCAAUGAAAUUGCUACUAAUAAAAUUCUCAGGUGUCUUAGCAGGGAGUGGCAACCUAAAGUUACAGCAAUCAAGGAAGCCAACGAUCUUACAAGACUUACGAUUACAACUCUGUUUGGAAAGCUGGAAGAACAUCAGCAAGCUUUGGAAAGUCUUGAAAAAUAUGAGAAUAAAAGUAAGAAGGAAAAGGAGAAGAAAAGAGACAAAGAGGGAGAGAAGAAGCCAAUAGCUCUUGUGGCCUCUAGCUCUAAGUCCUCACGAAAAGAGCAAAGCGACAAUGAUUCAAGUAGUGACAAAGACUCGGAUGAUGAGGAAAUGGGACUGUUUGUAAGGAGAUACAAUAGAUUCAUUCGAAAGAAUGGAGUCAAGCAUUCCGACAAAAAUCUCAUGAAGUUUCGAAAACAAUCUACAAAUUCGAAACAAGAAGAGAACAAGAAGAGUAGAGGAAGAGGAUCCUGUUUUAAUUGUGGUAAAUCUGGACACUAUAAAACGGACUGCCCUAUGAAGUAUAAGGAUCAAAGAAAAGAUUCGCCAAAAGGGUACAGCAAACAAAGAAGAGCGUAUAUUGCAUGGGAAAGUGAUAGUGAUUCAUCAAGCACACAAAGCUCAAGUGAUGAUGAUGAAGCUGCAAAUCUGUGCCUUAUGGCUCACACAAAAAAUCUGUCCUACCACAAGAAGAAAAACAAUGACAAAAAGGUAAAACAAGCCUAUUACAAUAAUUUCUCCUCUAUGUCUUUUUCGGAACUAAAAAUAGCUUUUGAAAAACUGCAUAACGAAGCUGUAGAUGCUUUUAAACGACUAGCUUCCGACAAACAUAUCUUCUCUUUUUUGGAAGGUAAAGUAAACAAAGCUGAAAUUGAUUUAGAAGCAUUGAAAACUAGUAUUGCAGAAAAUUCAAAAACUAUUGACAUUGACGGAUGUAGUAGAGUUAGGUAUUGUGACGCUUGUUAUAUUUGGCAAAAAGAGGUAAACACUCUUAAGGUCAAAUUAGAGAAAGCGCUACAACCUAAAGUUACUUAUGCCGUUGACCCCAAGUUGUUUAAGAAGUCAUUGAAUCCUCCAUAUGCAAAAUACUCUUUUAUUCUAAAGGAUUCAAUGAACAAGAAACAACAAACACAUCAUCAUGGUUUAUGUCAUUAUUGUUGUCAUGCUGGCCAUACCAUUGAGAAAUGCAAAUUUAGGAGAUUUCUUGUCCCUAAAGGUAUUUAUCAAUGGAAGCCAAAAGGCAACCAUGUUAGCACUUACCCACUUGGACCCAAUGAAAAUUGGGUACCAACUUCUCUCUUUUGAUGUUGUAGGAUGAGUGCCUUGCCUCCGCAGAUAGAAGGUGGUUUCUUGACAGCGGCUGCUCGAGGCACAUGACCGGUGACAUAUCGCUCUUUAUAGACUUCAAGGCAAAGAAGAAGGGAUAUGUCACUUAUGGAGACAACAACAAAGGAGCUAUACUCGGCAAAGGUAGUGUAGGUAAUCCCUCCACCACUACUAUUUCAAAUGUCCAUUUAGUUGAGGGACUUAAACACAAUUUGUUAAGCAUAAGUCAACUAUGCGACAUGGGCUAUAAAGUGUCGUUUACAAAAACUUGCUGCAUAAUUGAACAUGUUGAACAAAACAUUGUGUUUAAGGGUGUAAGAGUAAACAAUAUCUAUAUGCUUGACUUGUUUGAUGUACCGUUAACAAAUACUAAAUGUCUAGUCACCUUGAAUGAUGAUUCUUGGCUUUGGCAUAGACGUUUAGCGCAUGUUAACUUCGAUUUGCUAAAUAAGGUUGUAUCUAAGGAUCUAGUAGUCGGUCUACCAAAAAUAAAAUUUUCAAAAGACCACCUAUGUGACGCGUGCCAAAUGGGAAAGCAACAAGGGUUGUCUUUUAAAUCUUAAAAAUGUAAUUCAACUUUCACGGACCCCUUGAGCUUCUCCAUAUGGACUCUUUUGGACCUUUGGACAAACCUAAGGUAGAAACUACUAAUGGGCUUUGUAAUAGUAUGACUGACAAUAUCUAGAUGUCAACUUGGACAUAUAAUCCAUUCAUAGCAAAGGAUGAACUGUUUUCGUGCUCUUUAAAAAUUUUGCAAAGUCUGUCGCCAAGAACAAUAAUGAAUUCCAAAAUAGUUUACAAUCGUAGCGAUCAGGUGGAUGGUUGAGAUUUCAAAAUUAUCACUAUUGAGGGAUAGUUUUGUGACAAGUAUGUACUUUUCAGACCUUCGCACUCCACAACAAAAAUGCGUGUGGAGCGUAAAAAUCGUGUUAUUAGAGGAAGUUAUGGCAAGAACAUGAUGUUACUGAGGGUUGGGAUUAGCCAAAAUUAUCUUUUGGGUUCUGAUUGUGCGACUGUUAGAACAGCCUGUUAUGUCCUAAACUAUGAAUCUUAAUUCAGCCUAUUUUGAACAAAACUUUCCUUAUGAACUUUUGAAAGGAGGAUAACCAAACUAUGUCACAUCUUUCGACGUAUAUCGAGUUUGUAAAUGUUUUGUUUGUUGAAUUACGGUAAGGAAAAACAUUUGGGAAAGUAUUCGUAUGGCAAAAGCGGCAUAAGGUAUUUUUGCGUUUGGCUACUCAAUGUCAAGUAAAGCAUAUAGAGUGUAUAAUAAGCGUUUACUUACUGUUGAAGAGUCGGUUCAUGUUUCUUUUGAUGAGUCUUAUCCGAAAAAUGUCGGAAAAGGUAUUUCUUUUGAUGACGCAGGUGUAAUCUACAUGAAGACAUACUCAAGGAAGCUGUUGAGGAAAUUGAUCAGUCCAAACAGCCUGCCGCAUGAGAAGGAGGAAGAUACAAGUCAUGAAGAAAUUGAGGAAGAAAAGACAUAGCUUGAAGUGAAUGAUCUUCUCCAACUAGCUUGGAGAUCCUCAAAGACCAUCCAAUCGACAACAUUUUGGGAGACAUUUCAAAGGGAGUAAUGACCGGUCUAAGAUAAGUAAUUUUGUUCUUCACUUCGCGUUUGUUUCACAAGUGAACCUAAAAAUGCCAAAGAGGCCUUGAUUGAUGAAUUUUUGGCUAAUGGCCAUGCAAGAAGAGCUUAAUAAUUUAAAAGAAAUGACGUUUGGGAACUUGUCCUCGUCCGCCGAGAUCAUCAUAUCAUAGGCACUAAGUGGGUUUUUAGAAACAAGCUUGAUGAAAACGGAGGAUUACUAGGAACAAGGCACGCUUAGUUAGCACCAAGGAUAUAACCAAGAGGAGGGCAUAGACUAUGAGAAACUUAUGCUCCAGUUGCUCGCCUCGAAGCUAUACGUUUCUUUUGCUUGCCUAUGCGUGAUCUCUAAGGUUUUAAGCUUUACCAAAUGGACGUAAAGAGUGCUUUCUUAAUGGUGUCAUAAAUGAAGAAGUAUAUUGUUUCACAACCUCCCGGUUUUGAAAUGCUGAAAAUCCAGAUCAUGUUUACAAAUUAAAAAGAGCUUUGUAUGGUCUUAAACAAGCCCUCGGGUUUUGGUAUGAAAGGCUUAGCAAAUUCCUAAUUGAUCAUGGAUAUUCAAGAGGUAAAGUGGACAAUACUCUCUUUAUUAAACACAAAGGGAAGCACAUUCUUUUAGUUCAAGUUUAUGUCGACGACAUCAUAUUUGGUUCAACUAACAUACACUUGGUCGAAGAAUUUUCUAAGGUUAUGCAGGGUGAAUUUUGAAGAUGAGUCUAAUGGGGGGCUAAACCUAUUCCUAGGACUGCAAAUAAAGCAACUUGAUGAAGGUACUGCAGUAUGUCAAACAAAUACUGCAGAGAACUACUCAAGCGCUUUGGAAUGAAUGAUUCAAAAAUCAAUCGACUCUCCAAUGCUACCAACGGAAAUCUAGAAAGGAUGAGCACGGUAAGUGUGUAGAUGUCAAAAGAUUCAGAGGUAUGGAUUGGAUCUCUCUUGUAUCUUUUCUGCUUUCUAGACCUGACAUCAUGUUUAAGUGUUUGCAUGUGUGCACGCUAUCAAUCAAAAUCUAAAGAAUCGCACCUAAAAGCGGUGAAGCGCAUAUUUAGAUAUCUUCAUGGAAAUCUAAAUAUGGGCUUGGUAUUUAAAGGAAGUGAUUGUAGCUAGUAGGGUACUCCGAUUCUGAUUUUGCUUGGCGCAAAUCAAGAUAGGAAAAGUACAAGUUGGUACGUGUCCACCCUAUUUUCAACUCCUUGGUCAGUUGGCACAGCAAAAAGCAAGUUUCUGUGGCUUUGUCAAACUGCAAGGCCGAAUACGUUGCAGCCGGUAGUUGUUCGCGCUCAGAUUUUAUGGCUUAAAGCAGCAACUAACAAGACUUCAACAUUCAACUCAAACGUAUUCCUAUAAAUGUGACAACACUAGUGCCAUAAAACCUUACUAAAAAACCCUGUUUUACACUCACGCACUAAAACACAUAGAGAAUUAGACAUCAUUUCUUUCGGAUCAUGUUGAAAAAGAAGACGUUGUCUUUUGAGCACGUUGACUCCAAAAAUCAAGCUUGCUGAUAUUUUCACUAAACCAUUGGCAACGGAACCUUUUCUUCAACAUACGUCGUGAAUUAGGAAUCUUAGAUCUAUCUCAUUGAUGUCAUAAGCAUGUUACAAUCUUAACUAUAUUAUUGCCUCACCGUGUGUGACAAGCACUGUUUUAGAUGUCAAUUUAUCCUUCACAAGAUCUCUCCAACAGAGGUAAUAAUCAAUCCUUUCUACAAUUUUUUAAUUGAUUAGUGUUGUGUAUGUUAAAACAAAAUAUGUUUAUCUAGUUGAUGUAAAAUUUGCUUGAUAUACUUUCCUGUCUAUAAUGUGUGUUCAUUUAAAAUCUGAUUUCUGAGCAAAAUUAUCAUGAAUAGUGCAACUGCAUAAUCAUACUGCAAUUAAAACUCAUUAAAAACCAGUUCAGCAUCAGUAUGUAUCGGCACAUACGAAGCCUGCAUCGAUACAUAUACUCUGAAAUUAAAUUUUUGAAAAACUGCUUCAGUAUGCAUCGAUGCAUCUAUCGCAUGUAUCGAUACACAAGGCAAUUGUAAACACUAGGCAUCGACGCAUCCAUCGCCAUGUUCGAUACACAUGACAAUUUUGAAAUACUUGGCAUCGACGCAUAACUCUCUGCAUCGAUACUUACUGCUGUCAUCUGAAUUAAAUGCAUUCUUUUUCUCUCUCAUGCAUCGACACAUCAGCCAAUCAUCUCACUUCCUAUCUCAUUACUUCAUCUCAUACUGUCCUCAAAACCCCAAAACCAGUGGCUAACCCUAAUCCUUCUCAUCUUCACUCUCUCACAAACUUGGUAAAACUCUAAAUCUCAUAUCACCAUGCCUCCACGCACCAUCCCAGCCAGAGCCAAAGGAAAAGGAAGGAAAGGAAGCAGCCGGUCACGUCUCAGCAACCACCAGAUGUCCUUCAAAUGCCUUAGACAUUCUUCAUCCUGCCAUUUGCUGCUGAAUUUGAGGAAUCAUUCAAGGCCAGGUUUGGGUAAUGAAACUCAUAUCUUUGAUAAAACAGAUGUUGUUCAUCUGCACCUAAAUGAAGUAGUUGAACUGUUACAUGCACAAAGACUUGGGUCCUUUCUAUCUACAAAGAUGACUAUCAUGAGGAUUUCAUCCGGGCCUUUUAUGCUGGUUUACCAAACUGGUACAGGCUAUAUGUUCCGGUGUUUCUAUCGGAGUCAGAACAUAUACCUUUGAAGCCUGUAAUUGGGAAACAGUGUUUCAAAUGCCGCUUCCGUCGAUGGCUUUCAAGUCCUGGCAUGACCUGCAUUUUUGAUCCUGAAUUUGACCUGAAGGACUUUACAACUUCUAUCCUAAAGAUUGAUAGACCGUUGAGUGAGGACGAACACGUCACGUCAGGUAUGAUCAAACAAACUCCGCGUAUUCUGCACUGGAUCAUUACUCACAUUCUGCGUCCAAACCAACAGUGGCCACUCUCGGUUGGAUAGGCCUAGCAUACAUUCUUCUCUACAUUCUGCAAAAUAGAUUCACUUAAAAUGGGCGAACUACUUUUGUAAAACGUCUAUUUUAUGUGCGAGACAGCUCCAAAACUGUGGCGCUAGGUAUGCCUCUCAAGUAAUGAAAAUUCUCAAGUUUUGGAAAGUUACAAUACCUAUUGGCCUCUCCUAUCUCCAUCUGCAGCUCAAGAAUUUGAUUCUGCCACUCUAUCGCAUAUGGGAUAUCGAUGGGACAAAGACCGCAAGUGCUUCUACUUUUUUGAAAGAAAAUCCAAAACCAGAAUUUACAACUUUGACGUGCCUUCGGAACGCAUCCAUGUUGCUGAAGAACAGCCUGAUGAAGAAAUGCAAGAUGCGCCUGAAACAGAUGUGCCUCAAGCUGAGGCCAAUACUGGUUGGGGUGAGUGGGUGCCACGAAGGUGGUCUCCCACCAACUACGUACCUGAACCUACAGCCCCUCCAUCUCCGGUGGUACUUCAGCCUCAACACCAAAUGCGGACAUCACUCACAUGCUUCAACAGAUGGAAAUCAUCAACAAAGAACGCCAUGAAGAAGCACGGUACUAGCAUGUUCAACAAACUGAAUGGCACAACGAGCAUCGGGACUGCAUGAUGAGCAUACACGGAUGUAUCACAAUCAACACGCUUGGCACCAAGACUUGUUAAAUGGCAUCAGGUUUUCUACAACGAAAUGUCCGCUUUAUGGAUGAUUGCCGUUGAAAACCCUGGGAUUAUGGACAGCUUUAGAAGCACUGAAGUUCAGAAUCGAUUUAGGCGAUACUCCUUCAUAGGCAAAAUCCAGACACAAUGCCUCCUCCUCCGCCUCCGCCAAGCUACCGAGAUCCUGACAGACAUGAUGAGGAGUCCUGUGGUGGCAACAAUUCAAAUUAACCAACCACCCUUUCAUCUCACUGCAUUUCAUUUCAUAUUGAUCAUGUUUUAUUUUGUUGCACAUUAUAUGGUUUAGCGUAUGUAACUCUUAAACUUGUUCGCACACUUAAAAUGCUUUUCAAUUUCUGUUUACCUCUAUUUGUUAUUGCCCUUACUGUUUGAAUGAUUCUUUGUGAAUGAUUCUUAACUUGCAGCUUCUUUCUUUGUGAUUGAUAGCCUAUUAUCCAUUUUUGCCAUGCCCUGUUCACUUUCUGCUUGAUAACUUGGUUCUUCCUCUUUUUGAUGUUGACAAAGGGGAAAAAAUGCAGAUAUGCACAAACUCAGGGGAGUAUCGCACACCUUGCCAAGAAUUUGCCAUCAUCAAAAAGGGGGAGUUUUGUGAAAGAAUUCUUUAACUUGAAUUAACUUUUAAUGAUAGCAAAUUUGUGAUCAUCAUCCAAAUUGGUUGUGCAUUGCAUUACAUGAUAUAUUUGUGUUCUUACUUUGUAAUUCAUCCCAUUCUAUUGUUGCAUAACCACACAUAUAAGCCUACAUUGAAAAUUCCUUUAAAAUAACAAUUAAAAUGCAUUUUAUGUCAGUAUGUAUCAAUACAUGACCCUUUGCAUCGAUACAUGUAGCCUGUGAUUAAUCAUAAAACAAUUCUUGUUCAGUAUGCAUCGAUACAUACGAACCAUGCAUCAAUACAUGGAAGGCCAAAACUCUGUGCAUCGAUACACACGACACCUCAUCGAUACAUGACUACUUGAGUCAGCCUGUGCAUCGAUACAUACGCAUUGGGCAUCGAUACAUAUUAGUGUAAAAUUCACAUGCAUCGAUACACACGAUUCCUGCAUCGAUACAUGAUUAAUUAAUUUCACCAAAAAUCUAUACAACUUACAGUAUGCAUCGAUACACACUUCUAUGUAUCAAUACACAGAGUUGUUUUAAGUCAUAACAGCAACUGUUUCUUGAAGGAUAUAAAUACAGGUUUCAACAGCAGGUGGUGAAUACGAAUUCAUUGAGCAAAAAGACAAUUGAACACAAGAUCAAAGAAGUGUUGGCAAUUGUCAGUGAGCACAUAGAAACCUGAAAGAGACUUCAUCUUCUUCAUCUUCUCAAUCACUUCCCUUCAAGAACAUUUACACAUAACAAUUCUUGUUCUUUGGAUUAAAGAAGGAUUGAGAUAAUGUUCAGUGGUACGAUCAAGGAUCUAGCUGUGGGUUGCAGUGGAACGAUCGAGGAUCUAGCUGAGUCGAAGAUUGAAGGGGGUUUCUAGGAAAAACCUACUGGUUUGUCCUUCAAGAACUGGUGUGUUCUUGAGGGUUUGGGAGUCACAUUUGCAGAACAGAUUCAGCCGCAGCGUUGCGUUUGGAGAUCGGGGGAUUUCGCAAGCAGGUCGUGGAACCGUGAAUUGUUUGCAACUUUGUGCAGGAAAAUCUUGAUCGAGCUCAGAUCAAGUGAAGGUUUAUACAAGAAGAGGUUCUUGGAGUUUAGAAAUUCUUGUCUUUGUAUCAAAACUUGUAUCAACGGAUUCGGCAAUAAUUGAUAAUCAAAGUUCUCAAUUUCAUUUGAAAUUGAGAGGGAGACGUACCCACACGCGAGGACGACGUGGGAACUUCCUUAACAAAUCUCUGCGUAUCGUACUCUUACCUUAAUCUUCUUUACGUUUUCAAACUGUUUUGCAAUUUCUGUCAGUGUGUGGUGAUUGAUCAUAUUUCUGGACAGCAGUGAUAAUAAAACUUUAGUCAUACACCAUUGCUGUUUAUCAUCAAACACUCACACACCAACUGUUUGACAAAACGGUUAACUUGAUUGUGUUCAUUGGAAAUAGUAUUUGAGGAUAAGCGCAUUCAAUCUGUUAAAAUUCUGUGUGUAUUAUUUCUGUCAUUCUCAUUAAAAUCCAGCAACUGCACUUGCGUGUCCGGCUUUCUAGCAGCGGUUUCAGAAUAGACACGGAAGUCGAUUCGGGACCGAUCUUUCCGCCAUUUUUGAAAACUCUGAUUAAACGUUAAAUCCGUUAAUUUUUAAGAGGUGAUCUAUUCACCCCCCCUCUCGAUCACUAGCCACACCGUCUAACAUAUCUCAGGUCAUCUGAGUUUGGAUACACAUUGGACAUUUAAAAUGUUGAGAUUGGUCCAAUUUAAAUGCAAUCCCGUGUUUCAUUUUUGCUAAUUUCCAUCAUGCGCCCCAACCUGAGGCCAGAUCCAACGCUCCAUAUUUUUUCUGAUUUUAUUUCUCUUUUCAUUUUUAAUCACAUUUUCUUUUAAAAUUCAUAGUAAAUUCAUUUUUCAUCCAUAAAAUCCGAAAAUAAUUUAUAAAAUUCUCUUUUAUUUUUCUUAAUCUGAUUUUUAUUUUUCCAUAUUUUAUUUUGUUAAUUUUUUAUUUUUCUUGAAUUUCAUCUUUUUUCCUUUGAUUUAAUUGGUUUAAAAAUACUUUUAUGGAUUUUUAAAUUAUGAAAAGUUAUUUCAUGUCUCUUAUUUUAUUUCCAACCUUCCAUAAUUUUCUUGACCAUUUAUUUGGUGUUUUGAAGGGAUUUAUGGAUUUUCUCUUUUAUUUCCCUUUUUAAAUUCAUUUUAAAAAGGUUUUUGAUGCAUUUUAUUUUAUCUUUUUGCAUUUUAUAUUUGUUUGACCUUUGUUGACUUCUAUUGGCCUUGUAUCUUAGUUGAUUUGAUCAUAAGUCUCAUCAAACUAAAUGGAUCUUGGAUGUUGAUGGAGUGAAAACCCUAUUCCACCAAAAUGGAUGAUUGAUUUUGAUGAUGGCUUGAUCAAGCCUUUGAUACAAUUUGGAUUUGGUUUCUCUUGUCCUCUCCUUGUUCAUCUCUUUAUUUUUCUUUCGAUCAAUUGGAUGGUUUGUGUCCAUCUUGUUCAUGAUGUGUGGAUUGGUACUUGAUGAACUUUCAUCAUUUCAAAUCUACCUCCUAAUUGGUCAUGGAUCACUUACGGUACUUCCGAUUGAUGCAUAAGUUUGUACUAGGUAUCAUAAAGUAUGUAUUGAAGUAAUGGACCAUCCUUCUAGUCUUUGUGCUUGAUCCAUCCUCCUUUCUUUUCUUUUUUUUGUGUGUGACAUGCCUUUAGGAGAAUGAUUUACAUAUCAUUUCUCUAGCAUGUAUUAACAUAAACAUUAUUAUUGACCGACCUCAGAUAGUUGUGACUUCUACAUAAGUCCAAUUACGAUUGCUUAACAUAGCGCUAAAUUUAUCCCGAAAGUAAGUCAUUUUCAUAAGUGAGAUUGUAAGUCUCAUAUUCCUCAUGAUAUUAUGUGAAAAGUAUUGUUUCUUUUUCACCUAAGAGAGAUAGUGCCAUACUUGUUGACUUUAUCCAAGUUGGAUCUCUUCUCAUAGAUGAUAGGUCCAUAUUUUCAUACUUGUGGAUGAAUAGUUGAGUGUUUUCCAAAAAUGGCCAAAUCAUCUUUCAUUUUUGAUUACUAACACAAUUUACUAACAUAUUAUUGUAUUAAAUUUACUUUAAUGUCAUUUAUCUUAUGCUCUUUAUUUCUUUUGUCAUUUACUUUAUGCCUUUAUUUUUAGCAUCUCAUAUCAUAUUGUUUGUGCUUAUGUUAUUUUCUCUUUGUCCAUGUCGACUUCUUUUUCUUCUAAAGAUAUUAAUAAAGGAAAAACUCUUAAAAAAUUGGUUAUCUUGAUUCAUAAACUUGAGGUUACUAUCCUUGGCAUUAUUGUGGAGUUAUGGACUUAGAACUAGUACCUCGACCUUUUCUUUGGGAGAUUGUGAUUUGAAACCUUGGAAUUCAUCUGGUACCUUUGACUUUAAAUUCCUUUUAAAGACCUUGCUUGGUUACCUUGGUUUCAUCUGACUCAUGGGUCAUUCUUUGUUUAUUUGGCUUGUUUGAGACUUAAUCCAAAGGAGAGAAUUCUUGCUUGACUUAUGUCAUAAAGCUUUCUAUCUCUUAGUUAGAUCUUUCUUCCCUAUCUUUUACUUUAUGUUCUAGGAUAGUCUUUUCUUCUCCUCCCAUUCUUUAAUUUUCAAAAAUCUUCUCUCUUGUUUUAAAAAACUUCUUGUUUCCAAACUUGAACCACUUUCUCAAUAAACCUUGACUUUUGUCAAGUGAUUUUCAAAAAUCUGUUCUUAAUAAAUGCUAACAUACUUUAAGUAUAUUCAAAACCAAUUUCAAAAGACUAAAAAAAUGCAUAACUCAUUCAAACCAUUUUGUGCCCUUUGUGCACUUUUUUUGAAUUUUUUUUCUUCUCAAAGUUUAGACAUGAAUCAUUUCCAUAGUUGAGAUAAAAUUCUCCUAUCCCCAUAGUAUUGAUGAUAAUUAUUUUCCAUCUAAGAGAGUUAGUGUCAUACUUGUUGAUCUUUAUCCAAGUUAGAUACAAAGUUCGCAUACUUAUGGGUGGCUAGUUGAGUAUAUUCCUUAAAAUGACAAAAUGUAUUUUCAUUUAAAACGAAUCAAAAUAAACAUCUUUGUUACUUUACCACAGACUACGAGGUUUUGAUCCUCCAUAGUACUUUGUUGGUAUGUAGGCAUGAGACUCAGAAAGUCUGGACAAACACAACAAUUAUAAGGAAAAAUUUCUUUUCUCAUCUCCCAAUAUUUUGCAAACAACACCAUUUUUAAGCAAACAUGUACAGAUUUUCAAAGAGGUUCCUAUAGAGUACUAUAGAUAUUUAGGGUGCUAAUACCUUCCCUUUGGAUAACUAACCCCCUGACCCUUAUCUAUUUUAUUAGUUUUGUUUUAAAACUUCUUUGGGUUUUGUUCGUACUUUUUUCCUUUCCUUUGAAAAUAAUAAAAGCAUAUGGUGACUCUUGCUUUGCGAGUUAAGUUAAUCAAUAACUUAAUCUCAAAUUUUUUACUGCUACAUAUAGUUCAUGGAACUAAUGGUAGGAACUAAAAAGGAAAUAGUUAAUUAAAUUGAAAAAGAAAGAGCUUGAAAAAAGAAAGUUGCUUGAAGUGCAAGAAAAAGAGUAGUGAGAUGAGGAAAAUGUUGUGUUGUGAAAGUAUUGCUUGAGCCAAACAUUUUGUUGUUUGGAUACAUAUAAUGGUGUAUCUUGAGCACAAAGCUCAUAGGGAAGAAAUGAAAUGAGCUUGCUUGAACACAUAGCUCAUAAGGCAAAAAUUAAAUGAGGUUUCCUGAGCACGAAGCUCAUAUGGGAGAAAUGAACCGAGGUUUCCUGAGCACGGAGUUCAUAGGGAAGAAGUGAAAUGAGGUUGCAUGAGCAUGGAGCUCAUAUAAUAGAAAUGAAACGAGUUUUCCUGAGCAUGGAGAUCAUAGGGAAGAAAUGAAAUGAGGUUGCCUGAGCACAAAGCUCAUAGGGAAGAAAUGAGUUUUCCGAAGCACAAAGCUAUAUCGGUAAAAAAUAAAAGAAGAGAGUCUGCUCGAGCCCGGAGCUCAUAGGGAAAUACAAGAGGAUUUCCAAAAACGGGUUCUUGUCCAUGAGGUGCUUAACCCAAUGAAUGUAUGAAAGUCCAAAGAAUGCAAUGCUUGGUCCAAGGAGGAAAAGAAUUGUUGAUGUUGAAUGUUGAAGUGUUGAAGUGUUGACAUCUUGAAGUGUUGAUGUGAUGUCUGUGGGGUAAAAGACUUGACAAUCAUCUGAUUUGAAUGACACUAAAGUCUAUGAAUCAAAGCGAAUAAUCUGAAUAACUGGGGCCUACACCCCAUACACAGAGGUACUCUAGACAAGGAUAUGAAUUAUCCCUCUCAUCAUUCUCCGUUGCCUAUGGCUCGUGGCGUGUAAUUCUCAUCAUGAUUGACAAGCGUUAAAGAAGAUUCUUUUUAUUGUGCUUUGAACAGUGCUCCAGUCUUGAUGCUCAUAGUCUUCAAAGCCUUGCAUAAAAAGAUUGACUUGAGUUGAACUUGUGUUUGAGAUGAGUUGAAGUCUAGAAUCUGAGUUGAGGUCUUGGAAUGUCCGAUCCAAUGCACGCCUAGAAGACUAGUCUUAUCACUUGACUGGACAGAGGGAUUAGUCAUAAUGUGAAAGGAUUAGCCGAUCAAAGAAGACUUUCAUCAACUUAAUCAAUUGGGGGUAGGAUCAAGUUAUGAAAGCACAUGGAUGUUUAAGCCUAUGAAUAUAAGGGAAUCAAAACAAUAUCAUGCUUCAAAAUUCUAAAUCUAAGGUGAACAUGUACAUUAUUGGCUAAAACCUAAUUAAAAUCAAUUUUAAGAAUUAGUGAUUAAUAUUCUAACUAAGGUAUUAUUUUUAUUAUUUUCUCGCAACAUGAAUUAAGUUGGAAAAACAAAUGAAACAAUAAAAUCCAAGUACUAUUUUCUAAGUAUUUUUCCAAAGAACUUUCUUGUUAAAAGAUAAAAUGGAUAAAAAAAUUCACUAAAAAACUAAAAAAACAAGUGAAAUAUUAAAGGAAAAGAAAAUAAGAAAAAUAAAAAAAGGGGCAGGGGUGUGCUGUAAAAUAAGGGUGCUGGGAGUAAUCCAAUGUGGGCUUUGAGAAGCCUAAUUGCAAGCUAUAGCUCCAAAAUAGGGUAUGCACGCCCUGAUGGGGGUGUAAAGAGAUUUCAUGUGGGCUUGGAAAGUAAGUCAAAAGCAAUUUAACUCAGCUCAGGAGGGGGUUCGUUAGAAGGAAUGGGGUAUUUUCCAAUAAACCAAUGGGCUUUGGAGCUACAAGCCUAGGACGCUGAAGCAAGUUCAGGAAAUAGAGGUUCAACAUGAAAUUGUGAGGGUAUAGAAAAUAAAAUGAUAAGUCGGAGGCCCAAAUACACUCAUUGCAAGAGAGGGAAAGAAAAAGUUUAGCAUCACUUCAGAUCAUUUGUUCCUUCCUUGUUCAGUUCAUUCUCAAAUGACCUUGGCCGGAGAACCUAGCUCCGCCACGCCGGAAAUCGCCUCCAGCGGCGCAGAAGGCCAAUAAGAACAAAUCAAACAUCAACAUAAACGUUUUUCCCUCCUCCUUCCUCCUAUCAUAUUCAAUCUUCCUAUAUAUUUACCUAUCAUUCAAAGCAAACCAGAACACUUAUGAACACUAAUUCACUAUUUCGAAAAUUAAAUGAAAUAGAGGAGGAAUCAUAGCCUCUCCUAUUAGGGCUUUGAUUCCUCAAGCCACAAGCUACAUCAUGGUAACAAGAACAAGGAGAAAUGGAAGAAGAAUCAAACGAUUUUACCUACGAGGAUGAGCUUUUCCUCGGUGAGUGUUGAAUUCGAAGCAAAAACAAAAGUGAAGAUGAAGAUGUUGCAAGUAAGCUUCAAAAUCCUACUCUUCAACCUUCAAUUCUCUCUUCCUCUUAUUUUUACCUCUUCUAUGGUAUGUAGGAAAUUCUAUUAAUGUGAUGUGUUGUUACUUAUUCAAUUGCUACGUGAGUGUAGAGAGUUGUGAGUGAUUGCAGAAGUUCAGAGAGAUUGAGAGUUAUGCUCAACUGUUUAGAGCUUCAGAUGUUGAAGCUCUAACAAUUAUGGCAUGGAAUGUGUAGCGAGGGUGAGAUAGUGAUGCAGAUUGAGAGAGAAAAUCGAGAGUUAUAAGGUGAUGAUCAUGAUAAUGAUUAGUCAAUGAAAAUCAUUGAAGGUCAGAUUAUAUAGAGUUUUGGGUUGUUAAUUAUGUUAGGCUCAGUUAGGUUCUCUUAGAGAAAAUCGAUUAAAGGUUAUAACUCUGUUAACUUCUAUUAACUAUUAGUUAUUUUGAAGGUUAGUUAUUGAUUUCAGUUAGUGAAACUGGUUUAUGAAGUGAGGGACUUUGAAUGUUAGUUAAAGUUUGUCAUGAUUUUAGUUAGUUAGAUUGAAAGUUGCUGGUGCAGUUAGUGAUUCUAUUAUGUGAAUGUUAAUUUAACUGUUGACUCUGUUAGAAAUCAAUGUUAGCCUCAGUUUAAAUGACAGUUUACUAUAGUUAGAAAAAUGAAAUGUGACUAUGAAUUUGUUAGCUUGGAGUUAAAUGUUAAUACUGUUAAACUUUGUGAAAAAUCGUUAGUAUAAUGAGUUAUAAUUAGUGAUUGUUAGAUAUGUUUUAAGAAUGUUAGGAUUGGUGUGAUGCAAAUGUCAUGGCAUGAUUAUAAAUGGUUGUUAAUGACAUGGAUGUUGCUUUGAAUGGUUUAUGCAUGACAGAAUAUUGUAAUGGUUUAUCUUUAGAUGAUGAAUUGAGUUUAUCCAUGGGUUGAGUAUGUUGUUGAUGUAAACUGCUUUAUGAUGCAAGUGUCUUGAACUUAAAGUUGUUAAAUCCUUCCUAUGUGUGCACAAUAUGACAUGUUUGUGAAAAAUGAGCAUUGGCUUUUAUGUAGUUGGAAUGUACACCUUGUACUCAUGGUUAUUUGGAUAAUGUAGAUUGGGAUUGGCUUCUUGGAGAUCCAAACAUGGCAUGUACAUACCAAGAUGAAUGGAUGCCCAUGAUGCACAUGAGGAUAAAGCUUAGAGCAUUUUUGAAUACUUUUAAUGUAUUUGAUAACUUUGUAAUGUAUUUGCAUACUUGAAUGAAGGCUUUUAACUUUGUAGCUUGUAAUAUGUAACUUGUUUCUAAGUAAUCCAAUUUGCCUAUAUUUUCAAUUUGAAUGCUCUUGACUCCAAA